rnacentral:rRNA from 1 species
CCUACGGGUGGCAGCAGUGAGGAAUAUUGGUCAAUGGACGAGAGUCUGAACCAGCCAAGUAGCGUGAAGGAUGAAUGCCCUAUGUGUUGUAAACUUCUUUUAUAUGGGAAUAAAGUGUUCCACGUGUGGGAUUUUGUAGGUACCAGAUGAAUAAGGAUCGGCUAACUCCGUGCCAGCAGCCGCGGUAAUACGGAGGAUCCGAGCGUUAUCCGGAUUUAUUGGGUUUAAAGGGAGCGUAGGUGGGUUGUUAAGUCAGUUGUGAAAGUUUGCGGCUCAACCGUAAAAUUGCAGUUGAAACUGGCAGUCUGGAGUAGAGUAGAGGUAGGCGGAAUGCGUGGUGUAGCGGUGAAAUGCUUAGAUAUCACGAAGAACUCCGAUUGCGAAGGCAGCUUACUGGAUUGCAACUGACACUGAGGCUCGAAAGUGUGGGUAUCAAACAGGAUUAGAUACCCUAGUAGUC